AAUGAUGAAUCUUCAUCUCAGAAAAUCCCAGAACCUCUCACUUAAAAAUAAACCAAAAACAUCUUCAACACCUUAAAAUGCCAUGUCAACCCUCUGUGAGGCAACUUGUGCUGAUGUCUCUCAGGUAUCCCACUCAAUUGGGACUGACUCAAGAAUUGGACCCAUGUUCUUGAAUUUCAGUGUUGGCUUUGGUGGAUCCUGCUUCCAGAAGAACAUUUUGCUUAUCUGUGUAACAAAGUUGCUGAGAACAAAUAAGCGAAAAUGGUGAAGAUUUGCUGCAUUGGAGCUGGGUAUGUCGGCGGCUCAACCAUGGUUGUGAUGGCUUUGAAGGGUCAUGAUAAAGGAAAUGAAGAUUUAUCAUUGUUACUGGGUUUCUGGUUUUUAUUAAUUAAAUUUGUGGAAAAUUCCAGAUCAAUGACUAAAUUGAAGCAUUUCAAACUUUCUCAA